rnacentral:rRNA from 1 species
UACGUAGGGAGCAAGCGUUGUUCGGAUUUACUGGGCGUAAAGGGCGCGUAGGCGGCAGAUCAAGUCAGCUGUGAAAUCUCCGAGCUUAACUCGGAACUGUCAGCUGAUACUGUUUUGCUAGAGUGCGGAAGGGGCAAUCGGAAUUCUUGGUGUAGCGGUGAAAUGCGUAGAUAUCAGGAGGAAUACCGGCGGUGUAGACGGCUCUCUGGACCGCCACUGACGCUGAGACACGAAAGCGUGGGUAGCAAACAGG